GAUGGACACUGGCGGCGUGCCUAACACAUGCAAGUCGAGCGAUUCUCUUCGGAGAAGAGCGGCGGACGGGUGAGUAACGCGUGGGUAACCUGCCCUGUACACACGGAUAACAUACCGAAAGGUAUGCUAAUACGAGAUAAUAUACUUUUAUCGCAUGGUAGAAGUAUCAAAGCUCCGGCGGUACAGGAUGGACCCGCGUCUGAUUAGCUAGUUGGUAAGGUAACGGCUUACCAAGGCGACGAUCAGUAGCCGACCUGAGAGGGUGAUCGGCCACAUUGGAACUGAGACACGGUCCAAACUCCUACGGGAGGCAGCAGUAGGGAAUAUUGCACAAGGGGCGAAAGCCUGAUGCAGCAACGCCGCGUGAGCGAUGAAGGCCUUCGGGUCGUAAAGCUCUGUCCUCAAGGAAGAUAAUGACGGUACUUGAGGAGGAAGCCCCGGCUAACUACGUGCCAGCCGCCGCGGUAA
rnacentral:rRNA from 1 species